GACAGCAGCAGCCGCGGUAAUACGAAGGGUGCAAGCGUUAAUCGGAAUUACUGGGCGUAAAGCGUGCGUAGGCGGUGAGUUAAGUCUGCUGUGAAAUCCCCGGGCUCAACCUGGGAAUGGCAGUGGAUACUGGCUCGCUAGAGUGUGUCAGAGGAUGGUGGAAUUCCCGGUGUAGCGGUGAAAUGCGUAGAGAUCGGGAGGAACAUCAGUGGCGAAGGCGGCCAUCUGGGACAACACUGACGCUCAUGCACGAAAGCGUGGGGAGCAAACAGGAUUAGAUACCCCCGUAGUCCCUGUCUCUUAUAC
rnacentral:rRNA from 1 species